UAGGGAAUCUUCGGCAAUGGACGAAAGUCUGACCGAGCAACGCCGCGUGAGUGAAGAAGGUUUUCGGAUCGUAAAACUCUGUUGUUAGAGAAGAACAAGGACGUUAGUAACUGAACGUCCCCUGACGGUAUCUAACCAGAAAGCCACGGCUAACUACGUGCCAGCAGCCGCGGUAAUACGUAGGUGGCAAGCGUUGUCCGGAUUUAUUGGGCGUAAAGCGAGCGCAGGCGGUUUCUUAAGUCAGAUGUGAAAGCCCCCGGCUCAACCGGGGAGGGUCAUUGGAAACUGGGAGACUUGGGUGCAGAAGAGGAGAGUGGAAUUCCAUGUGUAGCGGUGAAAUGCGUAGAUAUAUGGAGGAACACCAGUGGCGAAGGCGGCUCUCUGGUCUGUAACUGACGCUGAGGCUCGAAAGCGUGGGGAGCAAACAGG
rnacentral:rRNA from 1 species